UCAUAUUUCUAUUGUUAUUAUUGUUGUUAUUGUGCUUCUCUUUCUUUCUCUCUCAACUCAACCGGUCGAGGCAGACGGCGCCACCUAGAGUCGGGUUCUGCUGGAGGUUUUUCCUGCUGCUGCUGAUGGAGGACUGUUGGGUCUCUGUAGAUUACAGAGUUCAGUCCAGACCUGCUCUAUGUGGGAACAGCCCUGAGAUAAAUAAAACUGACUUGACUUUAAUGACAGUCAGUGUUUCAGGACGUCCUCUCAGACACUUCAUGAGACAUGAAUCAGUCGCUCACCUCAUCAGCAGCCCGUCGAUGUAGGAGCCCCCCUCCAUGAAACCAAAGUAGAAGUUCCUGAGAGACAGACAGGAAUCUGCAGCCACUUUCUCCACCAGACGUUUAUACCUGAACAGGAAACACAAAGACAUCACAGGCAGGUCCCAGUGUUUAUCGCCAGCAGCACCAGUUUACCUGCAGACAGGAAGACAAACCCUCCCAGUUUAUAUUCAUCGUCAUCAACUGACAUCACGUGUCACCUGACAGGCGUGUCACCUGAGGACGUGACAUCACGUGUCACCUGAGGACGUGACAUCACGUGUCACCUGAGGACGUGACAUCACGUGUCACCUGAGGACGUGACAUCACGUGUCACCUGACAGGCGUGUCACCUGAGGACGUGACAUCACGUGUCACCUGAGGACGUGACAUCACGUGUCACCUGAGGACGUGACAUCACGUGUUACCUGAGGACGUGACAUCACGUGUCACCUGAGGACGUGACAUCACGUGUUACCUGAGGACGUGACAUCACGUGUCACCUGAGGACGUGACAUCACGUGUUACCUGAGGACGUGACAUCACGUGUCACCUGAGGACGUGACAUCACGUGUCACCUGAGGACGUGACAUCACGUGUUACCUGAGGACGUGACAUCACGUGUCACCUGACAGGCGUGACAUCACGUGUUACCUGAGGACGUGACAUCACGUGUCACCUGAGGAUGUGACAUCACG